GAUGAACGCUGGCGGCGUGCCUAAUACAUGCAAGUCGAGCGAACAGACGAGGAGCUUACUCCUUUGACGUUAGCCGCGGCCGGGUGUGUCACAUGUGGAUAACCUACCUAUAAGACUGGGAUAUCUUCGGGAAACCGGAGCUAAUACCGGAUAACAUGCUGAGCCGCAUGGUUCAAUAGUGAAUGACGGUCUUGCUGUCACUUAUAGAUGGAUCCGCGUUGCAUUAGCUAGUUGGUAAGGUAACGGCUUACCAAGGCAACGAUGCGUAGCCGACGGGAGAGAGUGGUCGCCCACACGAGAGCGGGAACAGGGACCAGGGUACUACGGGAGGGAGCAGUAGGGAAUGUUCCGCAAUGGGCGAAAGCCUGACGGAGCGACGCCGCGUGAGUGGAGGAGGUCUUCGGUGCGUAAAACUCUGUUAUUAGGGGAAAACAGAUGUGUAAGUAACUAAGCACGUCUUGACGGUACCUAAUAAGAAAGCAACGGCUAACUACGUG
rnacentral:rRNA from 1 species